GCCUGGCUAGCUCAGUCAGUAGAGUAUGAGACUGUUAAUCUCAGGGUCAUGGGUUUGAGCCCCAGUUUGGGCG